rnacentral:rRNA from 1 species
CAGUAGCCGCGGUAAUACGUAGGGUGCAAGCGUUAAUCGGAAUUACUGGGCGUAAAGCGUGCGCAGGCGGUCCGCUAAGACAGAUGUGAAAUCCCCGGGCUUAACCUGGGAACUGCAUUUGUGACUGGCGGGCUAGAGUAUGGCAGAGGGGGGUAGAAUUCCACGUGUAGCAGUGAAAUGCGCAGAGAUGUGGAGGAAUACCGAUGGCGAAGGCAGCCCCCUGGGCCAAUACUGACGCUCAUGCACGAAAGCGUGGGGAGCAAACAGGAUUAGAUACCCCUGUAGUCCCUGUCUCUUAUAC